UUCUAGGUGGGGUCUGUGAAUGGCACCGUGAAGAGGUUCAGCACAGAGAAGGGCUUCAUUACUGAGACCAGACAGUGUGGGGAGAGCAACCAGGGCAGGUUCACAGGACUCGCCGCCACAGACCGGUUGGAAUAAAUAUUGUGAAGAAUGUUUGUCGGAUGCGACAGAAUCCCUAGCGGCGCAACCAAGUGGCUACAGGAGGGAAAGAGAAUGGCCUGAAGACUUGGGAUCCGGAGAGACCUGAAACACCGGUCUUUGCCUCCAAGAAUGUGCGUAAUGACUGGCUGGACCUGCGGGUGCCAGAGUGGGUUAGAGACAUGGCCUUCAUCGCAGACUCAGACAAGAUAGACACCUGCACAGGUCAACACCAGGCCUAGAGUGUGUGGGUGUUUAAAGGGCCUGGCAGGAGGGGUGUGGGGGCUUCAGUCCCACCCUUCUCUCUGGUGGCUUCUUGUGGUUUGGACCACUUUCUGAGGGUACACAGCCUGGAGGACCGCUCUCUAUGGAACAAGGUGUAUCUGAAGUCACGACUCAACUGUGUGCUCCUGUCCAGCAGAGAUCUCGAGCUGGGCAGUACAGGAGUGAACGGAGAUAGCGGAGAACUGGAUGAGGUGUGGAACACUAUGGGGAUGAUAAAAGAGAAGGCGAAGAAAAGAGAAACAGAUGAAGCUGUUGUUGAAGAAGCAGAGAAGAUGAAGAUGUUGUUGAAGAAGCAGACAAGAAGACUAAGAAGAGGCAUCAAACACUGUAUUUAUUUCUGAAACAUAUUAUACCCUUAUAUUAAACUAAAUAUGGCUGAUACCGCAGUAGACACGACCACAACCCCUGAGAUUUCAGACAAGGAGCUCAAAGAGAGGAAAGGGGAGGUGGAGGAGAAGGAUAAUGGCAGUCGGGACGCACCAGCCAACAGCAAUGGAACACACACAAAUGGUGCAGAGAAGAAGACCAAUUGUGCAGAUGGUUCUGAAGAAACCCCUGAGGGUGAGGAGGAGGAUGGAGAGGGACUGGAUGCAGCUAAGGAUGCAGAAGAAGCUGUGAUGAGGUUGACCACCCUGUGAAGCGCCCAGGUGAUGAGGAGGAACAAGUGGAAACAAAAAAACAGAAAACGGUGACUCAAAGGAAGCUGAAGUGAAGGCAUAAUGUGCGGAGUAUGUACUCCUCCGCAACGCUGUCUACAUGGCGUGUUCAACUUCACCUUGAAGAGGUGGGGGGGGUGGCUGCCAUUUUAUGGGCUCCUAACCAACUGUGUUGUUUUGUUGUUUCUAACUUAUUUUGUACAUAAUGUUGCUGCUACUGUCUUUUAUGACCGAAAAGAGCUUCUAGACAUCAGAACAGUGAUUACUCGCCUUGAACUGGACAAAGAUUUUUUCUUUAACGAAUCCGACGCAGAGGAUAUACUGCAUUCUCGAGACCAGGCCCAAACCCCAUCAUUUGCGUGAAGAAAAGACAGAGAUAAAGGGGGUGGAGGUCGGGCUUCCCUCUGAGAAUUCAUAGGCGAGUGAGUAAACUUCCACUACCAUUCAUACUAUUGGCAAACGUGCAAUCACUGGAAAAUAAAAUGGAUGAUCUACGAUUAAGAAUAUACUACCAACGUGACAUUAAAAUAUGUACUAUCUUAUGUUUCACCAAGUCGUGGCCGAACGACGACACGGAUACUAUAGAGCUGGCUGGGUAUUCCGGGCAUCGGCAGGACAGAGAAGCUACGUCUGGCUAUCUCUAUCGCACGACACAACCACCACAUCUUAUCUUUGGAAUGCAGGCUCAGUCAGGCCGGAGACAUCUCCCUCUCCUGCACCACUAAUCAGAAUGGAAUGUGGCUGUUGGUUGUAUAGCCAUCACUUAAUCAGAUGCCAGCCCAAGCUUCGAAGACUCCUCUCAGUUCACUCAGAAAAGGAGAGAGCGUUCGAAGAACCCUACUCUAUUGCAUAAAACAACCAUUCAGGUGCAUAAACAGUGUUAUAUCAUUUUGUAAUUUUGCUACCAUACACAACAGAUGGCCUCCAUGAUAAAACGCCUCCACGAUAAAAGACACUUGACCCAUUUGGGGGGCUGGCUUCUGCAAUGUUAAUUACCCCCUCUUAAAUCUUAAGGCUUUGGUCAUGUUCCGUAUGCAUUUCACACAAGUUUGUACCAUUUGUACCCAAGAUACUGUUUGUUUUUUGUUGUUUUUAUUUUAGGUUAUUAUGUUAUGUCUGGCUGACUCAGAAAUUGUGUCGACAACGGUCUUUAUCAACAUUCCCGCCCUGGUGUUCUUAGUCUCUUCUUGUGCAGUUAUAUUUCAUGAUUGCUAUUUGGUUGCUUCAACCACUGCUUUGUAUAUUCUGGUUCUUGAUGAUUAAAUAAAUGAGUCUUGUCUUAAAAACAAAAAAGUUUCCAAAUGACCAGUAGUGGAGAGCUUAAGGAAAAGACUGUUCUCUUUAUGAGGAACGCAGAAGGUCUAGAGGUCUGCCAAAGCCUGUGUUGUGGUUGUACUGAUUGUUUUCCCGUUGAGUCUGUACUGGAAAUGCAUUAGCCAAAGUUUCCCAUUAAAACUAUAACCACUC